AUUGAACGCUGGCGGCAUGCUUUACACAUGCAAGUCGAACGGUAACAGGCCGCAAGGUGCUGACGAGUGGCGAACGGGUGAGUAAUGCAUCGGAACGUGCCCAGUCGUGGGGGAUAACGCAGCGAAAGCUGUGCUAAUACCGCAUACGAUCUAUGGAUGAAAGCGGGGGACCGUAAGGCCUCGCGCGAUUGGAGCGGCCGAUGUCAGAUUAGGUAGUUGGUGGGGGAAAGGCCUACCAAGCCGACGAUCUGUAGCUGGUCUGAGAGGACGAACAGCCACACUGGGACUGAGACACGGCCCAGACUCCUACGGGAGGCAGCAGUGGGGAAUUUUGGACAAUGGGCGCAAGCCUGAUCCAGCAAUGCCGCGUGCAGGAAGAAGGCCUUCGGGUUGUAAACUGCUUUUGUACGGAACGAAACGGCCUGGGUUAAUACCCUGGGCUAAUGACGGUACCGUAAGAAUAAGCACCGGCUAACUACGUGCCAGCAGCCGCGGUAAGAC
rnacentral:rRNA from 1 species